AUUGAACGUUGGCGGCAGGCCUAAAACAUGCAAGUCGAACGGUAACAGCGGAAGCUUGCUUCCGGCUGACGAGUGGCGGACGGGUGAGUAACACGUAGGAAUCUGCCCUUAAGCGGGGGAUAACCAAGGGAAACUUUGGCUAAUACCGCAUAAUCUCGAGAGAGCAAAGCUGCCCGCAAGGGUGGCACUUGAGGAGGAGCCUGCGUCCGAUUAGCUAGUUGGUGGGGUAAUGGCCUACCAAGGCGAUGAUCGGUAACUGGUCUGAGAGGACGACCAGUCACACUGGGACUGAGACACGGCCCAGACUCCUACGGGAGGCAGCAGUGGGGAAUAUUGGACAAUGGGGGCAACCCUGAUCCAGCAAUGCCGCGUGUGUGAAGAAGGCCUUCGGGUUGUAAAGCACUUUAGGUUGGGAAGAAGGUAUGUAGUUUAAGAGAUGACAUAUUUGACUGUACCGACAGAAUAAGCACCGGCUAACUCUGUGCCAGCAGCCGCGGUAAAAC
rnacentral:rRNA from 1 species